rnacentral:rRNA from 1 species
UCUGGUUGAUCCUGCCAGUAGUCAUAUGCUUGUCUCAAAGAUUAAGCCAUGCAUGUCUAAGUACAAACCUUAAUACGGUGAAACCGCGAAUGGCUCAUUAAAUCAGCUAUGGUUCCUUAGAUCGUCUCAUCCUACUCGGAUAACUGUGGAAAAUCUAGAGCUAAUACGUGCUUACAAGCCCUGACCUCACGGGAGGGGCGCAUUUAUUAGAUCAAAACCAAUCGGGGCUUGCCCCGUCUGCUUGGUGACUCUGGAUAACUUUUGUGCUGAUCGCAUGGCCUCUGCGCUGGCGACGUAUCUUUCAAGUGUCUGCCCUAUCAACUUACGAUGGUAGGUGAUAUGCCUACCAUGGUUAUAACGGGUAACGGGGAAUCAGGGUUCGAUUCCGGAGAGGGAGCCUGAGAAACGGCUACCACAUCUAAGGAAGGCAGCAGGCGCGCAAAUUACCCACUCCCGGCACGGGGAGGUAGUGACGAAAAAUAACGAUACGGGACUCUUUUGAGGCCCCGUAAUUGGAAUGAGUACACUUUAAAUCCGUUAACAAGUAUCUAUUGGAGGGCAAGUCUGGUGCCAGCAGCCGCGGUAAUUCCAGCUCCAAUAGCGUAUAUUAAUGUUGCUGCAGUUAAAAAGCUCGUAGUUGGAUCUGAGGACUCGAAUUGGUGGUGCACCAUACGGUGUUACUGCCGAUUCGGCCUACCUAGUCGGUGCUCGCUCUUGGUGUUCUUAAUUGAAUGCCCUGAGUGCCCGGCAAGUUUACUUUGAAAAAAUUAGAGUGCUCAAAGCAGGCCAUUAGCCGGAAUACUUCAGCAUGGAAUAAUGGAAUAGGACUUCGGUUCUAUUUUGUUGGUUUUCGGAACCCGAGGUAAUGAUUAAGAGAGACAGACGGGGGCAUUCGUACUGCGGUGUUAGAGGUGAAAUUCUUGGAUCGCCGCAAGACGAACAACUGCGAAAGCAUUUGCCAAGAAUGUUUUCAUUAAUCAAGAACGAAAGUCAGAGGUUCGAAGACGAUCAGAUACCGUCCUAGUUCUGACCAUAAACGAUGCCAACUGGCGAUCCGAGAUCGUUUGCUUAUUGACCUCUCGGGCAGCCUCCGGGAAACCAAAGUUUUUAGGUUCCGGGGGAAGUAUGGUUGCAAAGCUGGAAACUGUUCAAUUGCAACUCUGCCUGUGACACCAAGUGGUCGGGUUACUUGGUCUGUUCUGGCCCGGAGUCGGUAGGGUUUCCGGCCUUGUGCUCUUUCCUUACUGUUCUCUGUAACGCCGAAGGCGGGGCUUCCACGGUGGGGAAGCGGUUGUACAAAUCCGGCAAAUCCAGCCAAAUGGGUUCCGGACUCUGUCCAACCUGCAACUGGUAACAGCCUCGGCUGGCUAACAUUUGAGCUGGGACUCGCUUGGGAGGAGCGAGGAUAAUAUAAACCUCUAUGUGACUGAGGUGAGGAAUCUGGUUCUCGUAAAAUGGCUGGAGAUCCCGAGCCUGUAAGUCAUAAAUUAGUUCCCCCACGAGGGGAGGUGUCGAAUUGAAGCCAGUGCGUGCCCUUACUAGUUUAAGGGAUUGUAUACUUCCUUUGGUGUACCCACCUGGAAGUGCCCAAGGGGUCCUAUCCCUGCACUCCAUCCCCGAUUGGAGUCAGGUGACGGCUCCUUACCUCACCAGACGCGGCCGGACCCCGGAAGGGGUCUGGGCCCCGAAGCCUGACGGCGUCGGGGUGCAGGAAGCCUCUAGGCGACCAGCCCAGCCGUGCAGAAAUGCAGUAGGCCUUUA